rnacentral:misc_RNA from 1 species
UCCGGCUUAUCACCGGCAGUCCCACUAGAGUGCCCAACUGAAUGAUGGCAACUAAUGGCGAGGGUUGCGCUCGUUGCGGGACUUAACCCAACAUCUCACGACACGAGCUGACGACAGCCAUGCAGCACCUGAACCAGCGGUCCCCGAAGGGAAAAUCCUAUUUCUAGGACGGUCCACUGUUGUCUAGCCCAGGUAAGGUGGGGAUGAC